rnacentral:RNase_P_RNA from 1 species
CGGGCCGGACAGCCGCGCUGUGCUGCCGAAAGGCACACAGUGAGGAAAGUCCGGGCUCCACAGGGCAAGGAUAACGGGUAACGCCCGCCGAAGGCGACUUCAGGAAAAGUGCAACAGAGAGAUACCGCCGCGCUUUGGCGCGGUAAGGGUGGAAAGGCGAGGUAAGAGCUCACCCAUCGGUUGGAGACAACGCGAUGCUGUAAACUCUAUCCGGAGCAACACCGUGGGAAAGCAACAAGGCCUGCCCGGCUGCUUUCAGGAGGUGGCUGGAGCGCACCGGCAACGAUGCGCCUAGAUAGAUGGCUGUCGAACACAGAACCCGGCUUACAGGCCCGGUCG